UAUGAUUUCCAUAAACAUUUGGCUCAUGCCAUCAAAUAGUACUUGAUGACACCUUGAUCAGAGGCGUACACUCGAGCCCGCCAAGGCUGUUAAGAUUUCGUAUACACGUAAAACAUAUUUUUAGUUUGAAAAACACAACCAUUCCUUGGAGUUAGCGGAGUUCAUCAUCACAAGGUGGUUCGGCGUGACGUGAACUCUAUCCAUACCUCAAGAGAUA
rnacentral:lncRNA from 1 species